rnacentral:ncRNA from 1 species
UGAGGAAGCCGGUGUGAAUCCGGCGCGGUCCCGCCACUGUGAUCGGCGAGCGGAUCCCCACCACGCCACCGCCCCUGCCCGGGGUGGGAAGGCGGGGACGAGCAGCGACCCGAGAGCCAGGAGACUC